AUUAUUGGAUUUAGUGUGUUUGGGAAUAAAAAGGGCUUAAAAAGUGAUUUUAAUUGCAUAAAUUAUUCUUGGAUGUUCUAAUAUUUAUUUGUGCAGCUGAAGUUAGAGUUUUAUUGGUCCAAAUUGCAAUUUAAAGCCCAAAAUCAGAUUUUAUUUGAUAAAUAAUGUCUAGAUGGGCCAAAUAGGCAAUUUUUACUCCUGCACCCCCAGAUUUCCCUACAUGCACCUCUCUUCUAAACCAGGCCAACAACCAAGCCCAAAACACUAAGCCUUUUAUAUCCGUAACCCCUAUUUUCCUAUACACACCCCUCCUACCCUAGACUUCACCAGAUCACGCCACAUGUCCAAAUCCUCUGCAUACCAGAUAGACCAACCAGCACAUGCCACCUCAGCCCACUUGCCACGUCAUCACCACUUUCUCCAGAAACCCUAAUUUCGUAAACCCUAGCCGCCACCUUCGACCUAGCCGUCGGCCACCGUAAACGACGCACCAUCACUAGCACCCAUCAACGCAACAAGCGUCCAAUCCGCACCCUAGCCGCCGCAGGAACGACCAUCUCCUCAGCAAGCCACCGGACCUAUACCAAGAAAACCCAGAAAUCGUUGCAGAACCAGUCACCAUACUCCUCGCAAAAGACCUCUGUGCCAUCCAUCAUCAAACCAUCACCGGACCACAAAGUCGCCGUCGACGAGCAACCCAGAAUCGCGGUUCAGCCUUCGUCGCGAGUCUUCUUCCUCGCAGACACCAUCCACCGUCCACACCGUCAAGACCAUCACCGUGAGAAACCCAAAUCGCAACCUGCAGAAAACCCAGAAACACAGAAUCCGCACUAUCACCACACGCAGAAACCCAGAUCCAAGAUCGCACCACCCUCCAUGGCCGCCACCUUCUUCCUCGACGCCGUCACCAUGCUGCAGUUCAGUAAGCCUCGCGGAAUCGAAUCAUCUCCCUCCGCCUCCACCUUCUUCGAAUCUGGAUCAUCUUCAUCACCAUAACCACCGAGAGCAAGCCGCCGGCAGCCACCAUCGAAUCGCACAUCAACGCCAUCUUCAACGUAAACCACCACCUGCACA
rnacentral:lncRNA from 1 species